CAUGCAAGUCGAACGAAGAUACUUAAAAUGAGAGCUUCGGCAGGAUUUUUAUUUAUCUUAGUGGCGGACGGGUGAGUAACGUGUGGGCAACCUGCCCUAUACUGGGGAAUAAUCACUGGAAACGGUGACUAAUACCGCAUGUCAUUACGGAAGGGCAUCCUUCUGUAAGAAAAGGAGUAAUUCGGUAUAGGAUGGGCCCGCAUCUGAUUAGCUAGUUGGUGAGAUAACAGCCCACCAAGGCGACGAUCAGUAGCCGACCUGAGAGGGUGAUCGGCCACAUUGGGACUGAGACACGGCCCAAACUCCUACGGGAGGCAGCAGUGGGGAAUAUUGCACAAUGGGGGAAACCCUGAUGCAGCAACGCCGCGUGAAGGAAGAAGGUUUUCGGAUCGUAAACUUCUAUCAACAGGGACGAAGAAAGUGACGGUACCUGAAUAAGAAGCCCCGGCUAACUACGUGCCAGCAGCCGCGGUAAUACGUAGGGGGCAAGCGUUAUCCGGAAUUACUGGGUGUAAAGGGAGCGUAGGCGGCACGCCAAGCCAGAUGUGAAAGCCCGAGGCUUAACCUCGUGGAUUGCAUUUGGAACUGGCGAGCUAGAGUACAGGAGAGGAAAGCGGAAUUCCUAGUGUAGCGGUGAAAUGCGUAGAUAUUAGGAAGAACACCAGUGGCGAAGGCGGCUUUCUGGA
rnacentral:rRNA from 1 species